GAUGAACGCUGGCGGCGUGCUUAACACAUGCAAGUCGAACGGUAAAGCUCAGCUUGCGGGGUGGGUUAGUGGCGAACAGGUGAGUAACACGUGAGUAUCCUGCCCUUUACUCUGGGGUAAGACUUGGGAAAUCUGUCGAUAAUCCGGUAUAGGCGCCUACCGCGUGGGGGGGGUUGGGGAGAUUUUUCGCGGUUGGGGAUGGACUCGCGGCAUAUCAGCUUGUUGGUGGGGUAGUGGCUCACCAAGGCCGCGACGGGUAGCCGGCCUGAGAGGGUGACCGGCCACACUGGGACUGAGACGCGGCCCAGACUCCUACGGGAGGCAGCAGUGGGGAAUAUUGCACAAUGGGCGAAAGCCUGAUGCAGCGACGCCGCGUGAGGGAUGACGGCCUUCGGGUUGUAAACCUCUUUCGGUAGGGAAGAAGCGAAAGUGACGGUACCUGCAGAAGAAGCACCGGCUAACUACGUG
rnacentral:rRNA from 1 species